AAAACGAUCGCGAUCUUUCAACUGUUCGCGAGCGUUCAACUCAUCGUGAAGGUUAAAAUGAUCGCGAUCUUUCAACUGUUCGCGAGCGUUCAACUCAUCGUGAAAUUUAAAACGAUCGCGAUCUUUCAACUGUUCGCGAGCGUUCAAUUCAUCGUGAAGGUAGAUGCGGAAAGCGGAUUCUAAAUAAUGUAAAUUUAUAUCAAAUUUGAAGAACACUUUGAAGGGUCUAUUAGUAAUGAGGAACGAUCUGGAAAUUUUGCCUUUAUUAUAUCGAUUGUUUCGUGCGUGUCGUGGUAGAUGGCGCACGUGCGCAGUAACGAAUAUGUUCGUCAAAUAGUUAGACCUGUACAGAGUGUUUAAUUUUUAUACAAUCGUUCCAUUAUUAACAAUUUCAUUAUUACGACGAUUUACAAAAACAAUUUUAUCAUGUAAAUAUAAAGUUUUUGUUUACUUGUUAAGCUACGUUUGUUAAUUUCAUAUUUAUCUCGAUUUCUUAGCAAUUGAUAUUAUUUGAGGCUAGUUCGAAAGUAAGAAGAUUUUAACUUUAAAAUUUAUAUAAUUUUUAAUUUGUUUUGGUAUAAAACAACCAAAUCGACGUACUUGACUUUGACUAGGUGGUUGAAAAAAAUUUUCCGAUAAACGGAACAUCCUGUAUUCUACAAAAGUCUUAGAUCUUGCGAUUAUUCUAAAUAUACGAGUCAAAAACCAACUUUCUGUUUAGUAAUUUCAAAUUUUUUAAAUAAUAUUCCGAAUUCAACGAUUUUUUUUGGAAAAUUUAGUAUUUUUAAAUGGUAAUCUGAUAAAAAAAAUCCUUUUUGAAAUUUGAUAUCGUUUCUGAUAAGAUAAUUGAAAAUUUUUUUGCAUCUCAACUUUCUUAUUUUCAAUUUUUUUCAAUGGAAUUUGUACAGGGUGUCAAAUAUAAGGUUCUUUGUAUUCGAAUGAAUGUUUAGAUUAUAUAGGGUGUCCUAAUUCUUUAGUAUCGACACCAAAUUUGGAAUUUUCAAUAGGAACACCCUUUAUUUAAAUUUAUUUAAAUCUAAAACUUCCUUCCUAAAACACGGAGAAGAAGAAGAAGUUUUUUGAUAAAUCUCACAGGUUCGGUGAAAGUGUUCAUGUUUGUGUAAAAUUGAAAAUAAAAAUUUUGAUCGCGAAAAAACGUUUGUCCUUUGAAAAGCGCUACAUUUUGAACCUUUUUUGGAUAACUCCUCAAGUUGUGAGGAUUCCCCAAAUGUUUUAACCGUACAGUUAACGCGGUCUACAGUUUCUUCCUCCUCCAUUUUACUAGUAGCACUCCGGGUCAUCCGUGAUGUUUAUACUAUGGAAACGGCGACCAUUUCCUGUUCCAGUUUAAUUUGGCGCCUAUUUAAUUGGUAAUAGAAGCCGAACGUCUAUCUAUGUAUGCCUUAGGUUGUCCCACACUCGUUUCUCUAGCUAUCUCCACAAAGUUUGUCUUGUAAACACCAAGAAAGGAUUCUGGGUCUAGUUGCAAAUUUGCCGAUCCCAAUUCGGCGAACAAGUUCGCUUCGUCGUUGCCUAAAGUGACCUGAUAUCCAAACGAGCUGGAAUUUGCGGCUAUCACUCACCAGCUCUUGUAGGACUUUGUUGCACUCUCAACACAAGUCUAGAGCAAACGUUUCGGCUUGUAAGACAGCUCUUAAGAUUACCUCGGUUGGGAAAAUGGUAGGCAAACGCGGAAAAUUCGAUUAUUUUGUGGUGCUAUUCCGAUCAAUCCUUUCUUUCUAGUACCAGGUGGUUAAAGUCACCAGUCGAUUGCUCGUUAGCUAUUCUUAUUAUUGCAGCAGGAGUCCAUUAAAAUGAUCGGACACCUUAAAUUCUUGCGCCUGAGAUAAUCGCGAGGCAGUUGCUCCAUUUUGUAGUUCUUCGAGGAUAAAAAUUGUAUUUAGAAUGGUCUCCUUUUUCCCUAAAUCCGUUUUUCUUCAAUUGGCAAAGGAGUUGCUCCGAUUUAGUUGUACUCUAAACCGUAUUUUAUAUUUGUACCAACCACCUGAUGAAUAAGUUAAAACGGUAAAAUUGCAGGUGACAAUUUUCUUAUUUUCCACUAUAUCAUUUUUGGAAAUCGACGUGUACAUUUUUAGUCAGUACGUUUUUUCUUCAUCUUUUAAUGUGUAUAUCUAAAUCUAGUUUUUAUCACUACUGUAUUUUACAUAAAAUGUGAUGACAAAAACUAUCAUAGUUAUGUAAUUUUCACAAAAUAAAAGAGAAUAACGUGGAAA